AUUAAAAAUUCCAACCUGAAACGGUGUUAAUCUCUUUUGAAAUGCUGUAACUUUCUUAAAAGACACGAGGCUGUAACGAAAAUUAUUUUAGACCUUGGAAACGGACGAUCUCGAAACUAGAGUAGACAACAUUGUUUCCUGUUUUUUUUCACUAGCUUUCUCAAAACAAACAACGAAAAAUUCCAUUUUAUCGUCGACCAUUAGCUAGAAGCAAAAUGAAAAACCUAUUUUUUUGCAGUAUUAAAAAAUUCAUUGGGGAUUUGUGCUUUAACAGUCGAAAAUGUCUCUGAACAUCCUGGCUAAACUGAAUCGAAGCCAAGCUUCGUUCUUACAGCACAUUACUUGAUCCCUCUCGAAAUUCCAUUCCAACUGAAUAACGUGAAAUAAUCAUUAAAAUCAAUUGAAGGCUUCAUCGAAAUAAACUUAAGAUUUUUUGCUUGCUGUGUCGAAUGGAUGUCAACCGGAUGGAUGCCCGUUUAAGAUUCGAGAGAAACGACACCUUGCAUUUCUCACCGAAGCACACGAGAGCUAUCCUCUGAGCAAAUCAUAACUCUCGUACAGCAAAGCAGGCCAACGUAGUGUAGUGAGAUGAGCAGAGCAAAGCAUAGACCGGUCGCUGUUCCGCGGUAUCAAUAUUCAUCAGGCUCCUAUGUUCGAGGCAUGGCAAAUUCGUGGAUUAGCCUGAAACUUCACGCCAACGAAAGCCUACGUAUCUAUGACGAUAUAUACGUGUACUACAUACGAAUAAAGUGAGGCCCUCGACAGCAACAUUGAACGCGUUGGGCCCCCGAGCUCAUGUUCCAACGCUGACCCCGAUCACGUUCUACGAAAGCAGCGCAUACGACGAUGGGAGGUGAAUCAAGGGGUAGGUUCUCUCCCUGCCGGAUUCUAAUCCGGGACGGUGUGACGUCAUAUUGCAUAACAAUUAAUCAAGGGGCGAUAACAGCUAGCGCGAAACCACGAGUUACGGAGCAGUCCUUCUCUCUUACUCUCAGUAUCUCUUCUCUCCUCGCUGUACCGUAACCUAUAGCUUUACUUUCUACAUAUACAGACAUUCGUAUGUAUACACGCAGCAUUGUAUAGAAGCAUAGCAAAACCGACGUUGGUUACCGUGAGCGCACAUGCCGCUACCACGGAGUGGGUAGUCCUGAUAAUCAUUUCACCGGGCAGCUUAAAGUGCCAGUAGUUAACGCUAAGCCGAUUUAAAAGCGAUUUCAUAUCCGGAAUAUUAUACCUAAACGAAAGCGAGAUCUCUCCUGCAGCCCCGCCACCAUGAGUUCGUUUCCAACAAUGUUUCGACACUUUUUCCUGCCCAAGAACACGGUGUAUGAUGACACGGAUAUCUUUCCUGUCUAGAAGGAUAAUGAACCAUCUCUUUUUUUCAUUAGAUCAAGAUUCCAAAGUGCAUCGCUAUGAAUAUGAAUGUUUAAAUAGCAAAACAAAUACCAAAUUCGGCUUACUCUUAUAAUUAGUAUUUACAAAGCUUAGACGAGGAUAGCACAUCUACGUUUACCAUUCCACUAGAAAGAUUAUUCUCGACGAAAAUGCGGUCGUCCAUGAUGAUGUCGAAUGGACUUGCAACGAGAACGAAAAGAACUAUACGAGCGUGUGAAGAGUGACAAUGAGCAAAAACGGAAAAAUACAAUCCAAGUGUAGAGGGCGAAAUGUAACAGCUCUUCGCGUUAAGUACCGGCUGCACCCUCAAACUGUGCCACUAAUAAGCGGUGGCACCAGCCACAUGCUAAUGCAUAAUGCUGAUCAAACAACUGUUUAAGCAGACCCGAGUUAAGUGUGCCCAUUCUUUAAGCUACCCCUCUGCUUAUAAUGUCCUACCCUUGUUUCUCUUGUGUCUGACCCUGCCUCUGACUCGCUCUCUUCCUCGUCUUUCUAUGUGGACCCAGACGGCUACGCGGUGGCGAUGCUUUUGUCCGUCGUUGCAACUCUGGCCCUAAGGGCGGGUGUCGCUCGAAACAACUCACGAGGAAAAACCUGUGCGAUUGUGUGUUUUAUUCAAGCUUUUUAAAUAUCGGGUAUAAAGUUAGCCGCGUAACAAUAAAUCUUAAACAGGACAAAUUACGAGGUCGUUUAUUUUGCAGAUUUGUCUAAAAACUUUUCCAGGAGACAUUCAUAGAAAAUUGAUCGUUUCCCACUUCCUACUUCGAUCACGUAAAAUCUGCGGUAAACAUUUUUCUGAGUUUUGUAACAAAUUUGUUUAUUUUAAUCAACAGAACUCGCGCAAACAAUGAAAUUUAUAUUCUAACGAUGGAUCUAUUUUCGAUGUAUGGGAUUUUGAUUAGCUCUUGCGAAUAGCAUUCGUCGCAAUCUGUUUUUUUUUU